AGUUAAAUCAUGUUGGUUUUGAGACAAGGAGACAGAACUGUUAAUAGGUGUGUCUAAGGGCUCAGUGCAAUUCCUUCAGCACAGGACCUACACACCUGAAAGCCAUAAUGAAGCCAGAGCAGUUAGAUUGAAUAAAAGGAGAUGGCCAGGAACUGAGUGGGUUUUUCUCCCACUACAAUUUCUUGACUUUGUGCUCUAGCAGUAAGGAAGUUACUGGGAAUUUGCCUUGAGUUCACCAGAGGAGACCUCAGAUUUGUCUGUUGCUUUUCAAAGUGGGUGAUAAGUAUGGAGGACAUGGGUGAAGCUUCCUGAGCUCAGAGCCUGAAGUAACCUUGUGGCUGCUGCUUCCUUGACAGCUAAGACACCUAUCUGUGGUGGGACAGUUCGCUGAUGCUGGAAUGCUGCCUACCAGGUUUGCUCCCCUAGCUGGCUGUGUUUGCUUUCACCCAGAUACAAAAUUGCUUGGUUUUGCUUGUUUUUCAUCUGCUCAGACUGGCAGCUCUGACUAAUGUGGACUGAGCUCUGGGGCUUGUUGGGCUAUGUGAUAUUCUGACCUUUCUUGUGGCACUUGUGAUUUUAUUCUCUUUCCCCUGGUUAGUGGAUGAAGAAUAUUAUGCUUAUUAACUACAGCAGUUAAUGACAAUCAAAAAGCACCUGAGAGCAAAACACUCAUUUGGAAGCAAACAGGAAAUGUGGGCAAAGACAGUUUGCCUUUCCUCAUCUUCAGUUACCACAGAAAAGCUGCAGUGCCUUCAUCUCCCCCAACGCAGCAUUUCAGGUUUAUGUCAAUAUUUUCAUGCUUUUGUAAAGAACUGC